UACUAUCGUGACAUGGCAAUAGAAACAAUACCUUAUGCCGUGUCGUGACAUAUUAUCCUUGGGUUGAACAGAGCCUGAUGACACUUGCGACCGUUGCAGUUCUGAUUUCAAACCAACGGUUCGUAUUAUUCACUUCGUUUCCAUUUCUUCUCCCGUCUUGGCUCAAGAUUCCGUUGCAGUUCUGAUUUGAAUUUUCAAACCACCGGUGUGUUGGAUUUGCGUUGGCAUGUUAACUCGUGGCAGUGGAGAAGAGAUUGGAACGUAUGUUGAAAAACUCAUGACAAGUGAACUCUCUAGAAAUAUGAAUAUAUGAUAGAUAUUUGUCAUGUGGGAUCACUCACUUCAAAACCUUUUGCAUUUAAAGCCUGAAAUUGGGAGUUGAAGAAUACAGAGACCAUUGAUGUUACUGAUGCUGUUGGGUCCAAUAUUCGAAUUGAUAGCAUAGGACCUGAAGUCAUGCGCAUUGUUCCUCGUUUAAAUAAGCUUCAUUAUUCAGGCGUUCCAUUACCUCACAGAUUUUCAACAAUGUCUCGCGGAUUGGACGCAAUUAAAAAUAUCAAUGAUACCAAGGAACUCUGGAAACUUGCUGUUCGGUUUGAAGAUAUAUGGACACUUUACUCUGGAACUAGGAAUGAACACAUUGAAUUCCUGAUAUUAGACAAACAGGGGGACAACAUUCAGGUUUUGCUACCGACACCGUUGUGUCCAGUAUGGCGAUAAAACUUGGUAGACGGCCAAACUUAUGUCAUGCAAAAUUUUAAGGUCGAAGUGAAUGAUUUUAAAAUCAAGUUUUCUGACCAUCCUUUCAAAUUGGUUGUUACUGGCGGUGAAGGCGGAACAAGUAUAACUCCAAAAGAUAUUCCAAACAUCCCGUUGCACAAAUUUGAAUUCAAGUCAUUCUCAGACAUCAAACGUGGCGAAUAUCAGGCUAAUUCCUUAGUUGACAUUAUAGGAGCUGUUAAUGAUGUUGGAGCUGUUAAAACUAAGUACCGCUCGAAAGAAGUAUCCCACAACUUUCAGAUUAGUUGAUGCAUGUUUGGAAACUAUGCUGGUUACUUUGUGGGGAGUAUUUGGAUCAACCUUCACACAGAAUUUUAACGAGCAUGGGAAUAGCGGACCAUUUAUUGUUGUACUCAAACAUGCUAAAAUCAAGGAGCCUGAAGGCCAAUAUGACUCACUGUUACAAAUGCUUGGAACGGUACAAAGCUUAUUGUAGAUCAAGAGUUGAAAGAAAUCAAAGAUUUCAUCAAAACGUAAUUAAAUACUUUGAAUCAUUAAUUUAUUUUUAACUUCAUGCAACAUAUCUAUUUCUAUUAAUACGUGUUUCUUUCACAGUUUUCCUGAUAAUUACACUGUUCCAUCUUCCAGUCAACAGGGUGGAUCGAAACAGGGUGAAUUCACAGUUUGAAAUAUGUUUCUUUCGCAGUUUCUAUUAAUCUCUAAUAUUUUUAAAUUUAUUUUGAUUUAAGCUUUUUUUAAAUCAUUAUAUCUAAUUUUAACAUUCCUUUGAUACAUAUUUUAUUUUAUUCUUUCAAUUUACUUUUCUUUAAAUUACUUUUUUUUGUUAGAUUACAUAUUUUCAGUCAACGCCGCGACCCCGUGCGUCACGCACGGGUGUCCUACUAGUUGUGGAGUACAAAGAUGCUUGGGUGGAGAAGGUAAGAACAUAGACUCCCCUCCCCCUCUUUUGAUUUUCAUUUUUACUUUUAGAGAUGAUAAUAAAGUCCGUAUGCUAUUUUCAUGAUUUGUAAGAGGACUGUAUAUACAUUAUAAGCGGCUAUUGCGAAGGAGGUGACAUGUGAGUGUAGUAACAUCUGUUAGUGACAGUGAUUAUUGCUAGCAUAAGUUAAGGAGCUGAGAUAUAGUUUUUUUUUUUUUUUUUUUUUAUUACAGAGACUACCAUAUAAUGAUAUCUAAGAGGCAAAAUGUUUUAUUAACUAAGACUAGCAUAAGUCUAGCUUAUUAUUUAUCAAAAUAUAACGGUACAAUAUUAUAC